rnacentral:rRNA from 1 species
UGGGGAAUUUUGGACAAUGGGGGAAACCCUGAUCCAGCCAUCCCGCGUGUGCGAUGAAGGCCUUCGGGUUGUAAAGCACUUUUGGCAGGAAAGAAACGUCAUGGGUUAAUACCCCGUGAAACUGACGGUACCUGCAGAAUAAGCACCGGCUAACUACGUGCCAGCAGCCGCGGUAAUACGUAGGGUGCAAGCGUUAAUCGGAAUUACUGGGCGUAAAGCGUUCGCAGGCGGUUCGGAAAGAAAGAUGUGAAAUCCCAGAGCUCAACUUUGGAACUGCAUUUUUAACUACCGGGCUAGAGUGUGUCAGAGGGAGGUGGAAUUCCGCGUGUAGCAGUAAAAUGCGUAGAUAUGCGGAGAAACACCGAUGGCGAAGGCAGCCUCCUGGGAUAACACUGACGCUCAUGCACGAAAGCGUGGGGAGCAAACAGG